rnacentral:lncRNA from 1 species
CUCUAAACGAAAGACAUGAGGCCUAAGACUGAAAUGAGGUUGUUUUGAGGUCAUCUGAUUUCUGGCUAGACGGUGUGCGAUCGCCUCGUCCUGAAACCACUGCAGACAGAAUGGUUUGCAAUUUUUUUUGGUGAUGGCAUGUUCAGAAUCUUGGAUCCCUAAGUUGAAUAUGUUGGAAAUAUUUAGGAACUCUGGAAAUUGUUGUUUUUGUAUAUAUAAUGACUUACUAGGUAAAUCAAUAGAUUUAAUAAAACAUGUAGAAGAAUAGGCAUUAUAAUUUUGUAUUUCUAAGUUAGCACGCAUGUCUCAAAUUCUCAGCUGUUAGUAUCAGUGUCAUACUCUGGAGACAGCUGUCUUGUGAAGAUUCGCUGUUUCUAUGGACCGUGUAUUUUCCCAGGCAGUUUAUAAUAAUCUUCCCAUGCCAAUUUGAUCAGCUCUUUUGCCUUUCUCUCUACCUCAUGCAGUGUCGCUUCCUUAGUCAGAGGUGAUUCUCGAUCAGGAGGAGAAAGAGGAAAUAAUUGUCAGGCGANAGUCCCAAAGGUAGUAAUUACAAACCUGCAACCUGGAAAUGGCCUCGGCAUGGUCAUAGCAGGACAUGCAAAUCCUGCCCGGCGUAUCCAGAUACAGCAGUGGCAAGAUGCUGCCAGUUUCCAAAUCAGAUGCCAUCCUGUGGGGUGGAAGUGCCCAUAAGGAGGGAAAGGAGCCGCUCGGUUUCGCCUGCCUCUCUCUCCCUGUUGCUGAAUGAAUGAAUUAGGAAAGGAAAAUGGCCAUGAAACAGGCUGUGCGAAUGGAGAGGGGAAGGAGCAAGACUUGGCUCUCCAAGAAGGACUGUUUCUCUUAGAAAGGGAAGGCUGCCUGUAUUCCACGUGCCCUGUUUUAAAACUGAGGGCGACUCUGAGGUAGACCCAGAGUGUGAACUAGGGCAUUCUCAACCAAAGGGAUGGGUGGAGAGCUGGCGUUUGAUAGGAGGACCAGGCAUUCUUUGGGCGACUGGAGUACCAUGACUGGUGGUUGUCCUCUCUGGCCUGUUCCUGCUGGGAUUGAAAGAUACCCUGUUUGGAAGAUCAGAAGAAAGCUUUGGAUCAUUCCCACAACAAAACUACGGUUUCUGAGUGUAGAGGUUGGCUGUCAUCCAGGAAGCCCUGAUCUUAAAGACCAUCUUCACUUUACACCUGACCUUGUUCCGGCUUUGUUGUCACUCCCCAUCAGUAGUUGUCUGUCACCUUUGAAUGGAGCUCCAGAUCCUGAAGGAUACUUACCGCCUUACACACUGAACUCUUGA